GACGAACCGAGCGAACGUUGUUCGGAAUCACUGGGCUUAAAGGGCGCGUAGGCGGGCGGUUAAGUCUGCGGUGAAAUCCUCCAGCUCAACUGGAGAACUGCCGUGGAUACUGGCUGUCUCGAGGAAGGUAGGGGCGUGUGGAACUGAUCGGUGGAGCGGUGAAAUGCGUUGAUAUCGAUAGGAACUCCGGUGGCGAAGGCGACACGCUGGACCUUUUCUGACGCUGAGGCGCGAAAGCCAGGGGAGCAAACGGG
rnacentral:rRNA from 1 species